rnacentral:rRNA from 1 species
UGAGGAAUAUUGGGCAAUGCCCGAAAGGGUGACCCAGCAACGCCGCGUGGAGGAUGAAGGCCGUAAGGUUGUAAACUCCUGUUAGAGGGGAAGAAAAACUCCGAUAGAAUCGGAGACUGACUGUACCCUCAGAGGAAGCCCCGGCUAACUACGUGCCAGCAGCCGCGGUAAUACGUAGGGGGCAAGCGUUGUCCGGAUUCACUGGGUGUAAAGGGCGCGUAGGCGGGCUAGCAAGUCAGAGGUGAAAUCUUCCGGCUUAACCGGGAAACUGCCGAUGAUACUAUUUGUCUUGAAUAUUGCGGAGGUAAGCGGAAUAUGUCAUGUAGCGGUAAAAUGCUUAGAUAUGACAUAGAACACCAAUUGCGAAGGCAGCUUACUACAUAUAAAUUGACGCUGAGGCACGAAAGCGUGGGGAUCAAACA